rnacentral:lncRNA from 1 species
AUUAUUCUUUUUUCCAUAUUUGAUACUGCUGCUCUUGAGAAAAAAAGAAGGAGAAAGCCAAAUCCUACCCUCUACCUCAAAUCCAAAAAUGAGAUCCAUAUUGGUACAAUAAGAAGGACUAAAAUCUCCUUUCUUACUAUUGCUGAAAGCACAAAGACCUACAGCUGUUCAUAUUCAGUGACAUCCUGAUCUCUGUUGCAUCAAGCCUACAUGACGUAGCUUUACACCAGCUCUCCAAGUUUCAUGCAGCAGUUUCAGCAGACUCCUCAUACUAGAAACCUUCCAAGGGGACUUCAGAUGUGAAAACACAGAGAAGACCAAAGAAACUCUUCAUACUUUAUUCAGAAAUAUAAGGGUUGAGAGAAAAACAGCUCAGCCAGGACAUAACAGUGCCUUUGCCUCAGAGGCAAACUCACUUAUCUGUUUCAUCAUAAAGUACCAAACUGUUAGUGUUAUAAAGAAACAACAGGGAAGUAAAAAUAAGAAAACAAAGAGAAUAAGAAAUUUGAAAAAUGAAGGGAAAACGUGAUACAUUACAGUGAACAGGAGAUGAGAAAAUAUUCUUAUGUAUCAGCACAUAGCCUUUUACUAAAGAAAAUUAGGAUGGCCAUAGAAUUUGGUCUAAUUAUACACAAAAUGUAUAGAUUAAGUGAUUACUUUUACAUGGCAAUUUUG